AGGUUGAUAUCCGCGAGGCGACUCCCUGGUCAAUGGCCGUGUUGACCGGUGUUGCUGGGGAUGGCAACCAGACGUCACCAAAAAGCUUAUGCCCGUUGGCUGUACAUGCGACGAAUUCGGGCAGUUUAGGCUCAAGAAAAGCUCCUUUUCCUUUUUGCCCUAAUUUACUUUUACUAUUGAUGGUUGUUGGUUUAUUUAUUUGUUUAAUUUCCUCU
rnacentral:lncRNA from 1 species